GUGAAUCAUCAAAUCUUUGAACGCAAAUUGCACUCUCCUCGGAGAGUAUGCCUGUUUGAGGGUCAGCCUAUAAAAAUCGACAUCGUUGCUGUUUCGCGGUGGCGUUCGGCGGAAAUUGGGUCAUCUUACAUCUUUUGGUUUUAUGCGACUUAAAAUUUUCUUUUUGGUUCCAUGAACGUUUCUAAGAUUUAUUUCUUUACACGUUUAAGGUAUCGAUUUUUAUUAGACUUGACCUUCAUAUCGGAUCGCGUCCAUAAUCUUUCAUUUACUGACAUCAGACAGGCAAGAGUACC
rnacentral:misc_RNA from 1 species